rnacentral:rRNA from 1 species
UACGAAGGGGGCUAGCGUUGCUCGGAAUCACUGGGCGUAAAGGGCGCGUAGGCGGGCUCUUAAGCCAGGGGUGAAAGCCCAAGGCUCAACCUUGGAAUUGCCUUUGAUACUGAGGGCCUUGAGACCGGAAGAGGUCGGCGGAACUGCGAGUGUAGAGGUGAAAUUCGUAGAUAUUCGCAAGAACACCAGUGGCGAAGGCGGCCGACUGGUCCGGUUCUGACGCUGAGGCGCGAAAGCGUGGGGAGCAAACAGG